GUGUAUGGCCAUGCCACCCUGAAUGCGCGGGAUCUCAUCUGAUGUUGGAAGCUAAGCAGGGUCAGGUCUGGUUAGUACUUGGGUAGAACACCAAUUGGUUCUGUUAC
rnacentral:rRNA from 1 species